CUCUCUUUCUCCAGCAUCAUUAAGUAAUCAUUAAUUUCAUUAUUUUAGGAGCUACUCACUGAUGAAAGCUUGAAGAACUCCUUUCAACAUUUCUUGUAAGGCAGAUCUAGUGGUGAUAAAGUCUCUCAGCUUUUGUUUGACUGGGAAAGUCUUUAUAUCUCCUUUAUUUUUGAAGCACAGCUUUAACAGGAAGAUUAGCCCUGAGCUAACAUCUGCUGCCAAUCCUCCUCUUUUUGCUGAGGAAGCCUGGUCCUGAGUUCACAUCCACGCCCAUCUUCUUCUACUUUAUAUGUGGGACGCCUGCCACAGCAUGGCUUGACAAGCAGUGCCAUGUCCGCACCCGGGAUCUGAACCAGUUAACCCUGGGCCGUGGAAGCAGAAAGUGCAAACUUAACCGCUAUACCACGGGGCUGGCCCCCUGAAGACAGAUAUUUUUAAAACCCCGUCUUUGGACCCUUAUUGUGGACGGCACUGAAUAAGUUAGGAGCAUUUAUACUGAUAAGGGUACAUUGAAACUUCUCCAUCUCAGCCCUCAGAUGGAGCCCAGAGUCCUCCAAGGACUUACUCUGUUCCUCUAAAGCAGUUGUUAUCCCUCAAACUCCAAACAGUUGAAUAAGUCAGACUCUAAAGGGCUUUUACACAUCUCUCUCAAAUGUAUAUAGCAAAGGAAAAUAGCAAUAGUAAAU
rnacentral:lncRNA from 1 species